rnacentral:misc_RNA from 1 species
CCAAUAGCGUAUAUUAAAGUUGUUGCAGUUAAAAAGCUCGUAGUUGAAUUUCGGGAUCAGUAGGUCGGUCGUGCCACUGGUAUGAACUGGUCUCACUGGUUCCUCCCUCUUGACGAACUGCAAUGCUAUUAAUUUAGUGUUGUAGGAAAUCAGGACUGUUACUUUGAAAAAAUUAGAGUGUUUAAAGCAGGCUUUGGCUUGAAUACAUUAGCAUGGAAUAAUGAAAUAGGACGUUCGAUCCUAUUUUGUUGGCUUCUAGGAUUGACGUAAUGAUUAAUAGGGACAGUUGGGGGCAUUAGUAUUCAAUUGUCAGAGGUGAAAUUCUUGGAUUUAUUGAAGACUAACUACUGCGAAAGCAUGUGCCAAGGAUGUUUUCAUUAAUCAAGAACGAAAGUUAGGGGAUCGAAGACGAUCAGAUACCGUCGUAGUCUUAACCAUAAACUAUGCCGACUAGGGAUCGGAUGAUGUUAAUUUUUUAAUGACUCAUUCGGCGCCUUACG